rnacentral:lncRNA from 1 species
ACCCCUCUCCAAUCCGUACACACGACACGACGCGACGGCGACGACUUCGACGACGGCACGACAACGACGACUUCGACAACGACAACCACAAUAAUUUCUACAACAACAGGAGAUACGCAUGCGUACGCAUAGUGUAGGUGUGAUUUUUUUUGUUGGUUUGAUCAACCCGACCAUCUUCGUGGUAGGUUUCGAACCGAUCAAAUCUAACAUCAAAUCAUCACUUCCGCCAUGCGUAUGUAUUGUUAAUCUCCAAGCCGUGCGGCCAUCUUCGCGAUAGGCUCGACACGGUCAAAAUAAUUAAUCGAACCGGAGGUUUUAUUACGUAAGCCGUGCGGCCAUCUUCGUGAUAGGCUCGACAUGGGUAUAAAAAAAUCGUGCGGCCAUCUUCGCGAUAGGCUCAACACGAUUAAACUCCGCAAAACGCGACAAAAAAAAAAUAACAUGAAGAAUGAUGAUAAAUAAUGGACGGGUUUUGAUUCGUCAUAAAUUUUGAGACGAGAUUC